AGACACAGCAAGUACCAUGAGGGAAAAGAUAGAAAAAGGACUUUAGAAAAAGAGAAGUUAAAAAGUGCCUAGAACUCGCUAGAAAAGGAAAGCGGAUGGAACCAGUCGUGCUUGGCGAGAUUGUUGCGUGCAAAGGUGACUGCUCACUGCUCGUAGCGUAAGCGCAGCAGCGGGUUUCGAUCUGGUCGCGCGCGAUGCUUCUUGCCUUGUUCGUCAUCGUUGGUUUGGAGGCGCGGACAACUCUUGGGACAUGGUAACUCGCCCACGGGCGAGCGAAUGUGCCUUUGCAGAACUCACCUCCAAACUGAUGUCUCUUGUUAGGUUCUGUUGCCGUACGCGGCACGUUCUUGACAAAGCGUGGUGACAGAAUGGUUCUAUUCGACCCGUCUUGAAACACGGACCAAGGAGUCUAAACAUAUGUGCAAAGUUACUUGGGUGGCGAAAACCCUAUAGUGCGACAAUGAAAGUGAGUGCUGAGAUGCUUGCAUCAGCAGCCGACCAAUCAAUUGGGAGA
rnacentral:rRNA from 1 species